rnacentral:rRNA from 1 species
AGGAAAUAGAUACCCCGGUAGUCCACACCGUAAACGAAUGGAUACUUGUUGUUGGAGGUAUUGACCCCUUCCAGUGACGCAGUUAAACAACGGUAAAGUAUCCGCCUGGGGAGGUACGGUCGCAAGAUUAAAACUACAAAGAAAUUGACGGGGCCCGGCACAAGCGGUGGAGUAUGUGGUUUAAUUCGAUGCAACGACGAAGAACCUUACCUACUUUUGUACAUGUACUGGAAGACUGGCAGAGAUGUCGUCGCCCGCAAGGGCCGGUACACAGGUGCUGCAUGGCUGUCGUCAGCUCGUGUCGUGAGAUGUUGGGUUAAGUCCCGCAACGAGCGCAACCCUUGCUUUUAGUUGCCAGCAUUUAGUUGGGCACUCUAAAA